UACGUAGGGGGCUAGCGUUGUUCGGAAUUACUGGGCGUAAAGCGCGCGCAGGCGGUCUUCCAAGUCAGUGGUGAAAGCCCGGAGCUCAACUCCGGAACUGCCAUUGAAACUGUUGGACUUGAGUACGAGAGAGGUGAGUGGAAUUCCCAGUGUAGAGGUGAAAUUCGUAGAUAUUGGGAAGAACACCGGUGGCGAAGGCGGCUCACUGGCUCGUAACUGACGCUCAGGCGCGACAGCGUGGGGAGCAAACAGG
rnacentral:rRNA from 1 species